UUCAGGUGGGGGCUGUGGCCAAGGGGGCCACGGGGGCCACGGGGGCCACGGGGGCCACGGGUGCGGGUCUGGACCUGGACACUGCCAUGGGGGACCCAAGCGCAGGAGAAGGAACAAGAGAGGCCACAAGCACAGGAAGUGUCACAAGAAGGGGAAGGACUGUCAUGGGUCAUCCAGCAGCUCCUGCAGCAGCAGCAGCGACUCAGACUAGAUGAAGCCCGGUUGAAGGGAGCAGAACCAGAACACCUGGACGCCUUCCUUCAUCUGCUGACCUUUUUCUUCAUUUUGUCCUAAAAGCCCAUAACAUGUUCUUGGUCCAAAAUCUGUAAAACAUUCAUUUUAUCUGAUUGUGUAUGACCUUGGAUUAAACGAGAGAUUCAAAAUUGUGUUUCUUCUUUGACUCCCUAAAUAUCCGAGCAAAAGAAGUUAAUUUUUUUUAAAUUUUAUUGGGUGAAUUGACGUGAUAAGUUGUGGGUGUGGUUCUUACUUCGACCACUAGAUGGACAUAAAGAGGCGCGUGUUUUAAAGAGUGUUGACCAGAAUCCAUCAGCGAUCAGACAUAAAUCGGAAUAAAUCUGAUCAGAUUAUGUGAUUCUGCCUGGAUGAAAUGUUGGCUGACAGGUUUGUCCAUCCAUCCAUCCAUCCAUUCUCUACCGCUUAUCCGGGUCGGGUCGCGGGGGUAGCAGCCUAAGGAGAGAAGCCCAGACUUCCCUCUCCCCAGCCACCUCCUCCAGCUCAUCCGGAGGGAUCCCCAGGCGUUCCCAGGCCAGUCGAGAGACAUAGUCUCUCCAACGUGUCCUGGGUCUCCCCGGGGGUCUCCUACCGGAGGGACAUGCCCUGAACACCUCACCAGGGAGGCGU
rnacentral:lncRNA from 1 species